rnacentral:misc_RNA from 1 species
UCCCGACUGGCUCCACCACUGAUGACGACUUUGGGUCUGUAGCUCAGGUGGUUAGAGCGCACCCCUGAUAAGGGUGAGGUCGGUGGUUCGAGUCCUCCCAGACCCACCACUCUGAAUGUAUCGCACACGAAGAAUUUGAAUGAUUCGGCGCUGAGGCCGGGUCGUGUUCUUUAAUAAUUAGUGAUGUAGCGAACGUUUGAGAACAAUACUCUCGACGUGUCGUUGUGGCUAAGGCGGGGACUUCGAGUCCCUAAAAUUGAGUCGUUAUAGUUCGCGUCCGGGCUUUGUACCCCUGGGCUGAAUAUGACCUUGAGGCAACUUGAGGUUAUAUGGUCAAGCGAAUAAGCGCACACGGUGGAUGCCUUA